rnacentral:sRNA from 2 species
CCCUAGCCCCGAUAGAAGUGGAAAUCCUUUUGUGGCGGGGUUCGCCACAAAAGAUUGGAAAGUAUAGCGGGAUUAGCU